AAACCUUUAAAAAAACAAGAAUAAAAGCAAUCUUUUCAUCUGCAUAACGAUUGUCUUGUUUGUUUUUCAAAAAGUUUUUCAUCUCUAAAUCAUUAUGCAGGUUGUUUCUCAAACCCAUUGGACAUAAUGAUCGGACGUCAUCUCCCAAUUUUGAAUUCCUUGUAUUCGAAGCGGACGAAGAUGAUGUUGAAGGGAUUCCUGACGAGAUUUCCCGACUUC
rnacentral:lncRNA from 1 species